AGAGUUUGAUCCUGGCUCAGAACGAACGCUGGCGGCAGGCUUAACACAUGCAAGUCGAACGCCCUUCGGGUGAGUGGCAGACGGGUGAGUAACGCGUGGGAACGUGCCCUUCAGUUCGGAAUAACCCAGGGAAACUUGGGCUAAUACCGGAUACGUGCGAGAGCAGAAAGAUUUAUCGCUGAAGGAUCGGCCCGCGUCUGAUUAGCUAGUUGGUGGGGUAAUGGCCCACCAAGGCGACGAUCAGUAGCUGGUCUGAGAGGAUGAUCAGCCACAUUGGGACUGAGACACGGCCCAAACUCCUACGGGAGGCAGCAGUGGGGAAUAUUGGACAAUGGGCGCAAGCCUGAUCCAGCCAUGCCGCGUGAGUGAUGAAGGCCUUAGGGUUGUAAAGCUCUUUCGGCGGGGACGAUAAUGACGGUACCCGCAGAAGAAGCCCCGGCUACUUCGUGCCAGCAGCCGCGGUAAUACGAAGGGGGCUAGCGUUGUUCGGAAUCACUGGGCGUAAAGGGCGCGUAGGCGGCUUGAUAAGUCGGGGGUGAAACCUGUGGCUCAACCACAGAAUUGCCUUCGAUACUGUCUGGCUUGAGACCGGAAGAGGUAAGUGGAACUGCGAGUGUAGAGGUGAAAUUCGUAGAUAUUCGCAAGAACACCAGUGGCGAAGGCGGCUUACUGGUCCGGUUCUGNNNNUGAGGCGCGAAAGCGUGGGGAGCGAACAGGAUUAGAUACCCCAGUAGUCC
rnacentral:rRNA from 1 species